UAAAAGAGAGAAAAAAAUAAAAGAUAAAAAAGAUGAUGAAGUCUGUUUCUGUUUUCCCAAUCAUUUUGUUGGUACUUUCUAUGGUCAUUCUCCACGGUAAUUGAAGUUAUAUUCGUUUUAUCCUUUGAAAAAUAUUGUACAAAUGGUUGUAAAUAUUUAACCUUGGUUAUGAAAAUAUGUGUAGGUGUUGCAAGAGGCAUUGAUCGAGACCAUGAACAAGGGGUAUCGUCAACAUUGGGGAGUAAAGAAGUAAUCAUCCAAGAAACAUGUCGGACCGUGAUAUAUGAUAAAGGGUGUGAAGAGUUUAAAUGCGAUCGAGAUUGUGUGAGCCACUUUGGGGGAGAUAGCAAUAGCGAAUGUUUGAAUGGUCGUGUUUGUGUAUGUGAAUACAAUGGCAAUUGUGACAACUAAAUUAAGGUUUUUGAAGGGGGGAAUCAAAGCUUAAUAAUGGAAUAUUUGCACGAAACAUAUCAUCAUGUAUUGUACUCCG
rnacentral:lncRNA from 1 species